AAGGGUAUAGCUCAGUGGGAGGGCGCAUGCUUAGCAUUCAUGAGGUCCUGGGUUCAAUCCCCAGUACCUCCA
rfam:Camelus ferus unplaced genomic scaffold scaffold463, whole genome shotgun sequence.